GCCAUACCACCCUGAACGCGCCCGAUCUCGUCGGAUCUCGGAAGCUAAGCAGGGUCGGGCCUGGUUAGUACUUGGAUGGGAGAAUAUCCUUCUUUUUUGCUUUUAUACCUGAAUGACAACUUGAUCAAGUGGCC
rnacentral:rRNA from 1 species